UCCACGUGGAGUACCGCAGGGGCUUCUCACUCCUUUAUAUCGUAUCCCAAAGCCCUAGACAUCAAAACUCCAUCGCCGGCGCCGAGACGGAAACCCUCUCGCAUUCCAGGCGGAGAUCCAUCAGCUCAUCAGCCUCAGCAUCGACACUGUCUACUCCAACAAGGAGAUCUUCCUCCGCGAGCUCAUCAGCAACUCCUCCCAUGUGAGCCAACAUCUCGAUUUGCAUCAUAUCUGCCUCUUUCAUGCGUUUUCGUAGCUCUCACAUGAACAGGAGCAAGCUCGAGGCCUGCACGGAGAUCAGGUCGCUGACACCCCUCUCUAUAUCAUUAUCUGUUGAUUACGGAUGGAGAAGACUCACGUCGUCAACGAUCUAGGUACUCGUGGCCAAGGGCUUCGGAGAUAAGGAGAAAUGAGGAAAGAAAAUGCACCACAGUAAGUCUGAGAAGCACUCGUCGGGACAUCAUUCUGACCAGGAAGAGAAAAGAGAUAUUCAUACAUUCAUGAAGAAUGAAGGAAAGUCUAACUGUAACAAACGGUCAUCAAGAGUUCAUUCAGAUACAGAGGAUGCUACUGACGGUGCAGAAAGGAAAAGAAGCAGUGAUCACUUAACAUAACAUAACUAUUCCAAGAAAGAUUGACAUUCUCCCAGGUAUACUUCAACUCUGAAAGGGAAAUUGAAAGUGAAAAUCAUUCACCGCUUGAACAUUGACAACAAGAUUAUCAAAGGAGUGAAAGCACUCGUCCAGAAGAGGCCGAAUGCUGCCUGGCCAUAAUCGUCUUUGAGGUGUGCCAAAGAUGUUCGAAGAGGGAAUCUGGAUUAAGAAGCAUGCACUGAAUGUGUAGGUCCACGAGGAGCCAAGGUCGAAACGAUUGAAGAAAGCAGUUAGAUGAAGUUAGAGUGGAAGCCAUGAGAUCAGACUUUUCAAGAAGCAAGAAUUUUCUGGAAUUGAGAAAGAAGGCGGCUAUCGUUGAGCUUAUUAGUCAUGAGGAAGUUCUGCAGUCCAUGAUAGCAAUGCAUUUAGGUGGUGAUACGUUGAGUUACGGAAAUAAUCUUUUACAAUGUACAUUCAAUCUUUUUCGGGACCUUGAUAAGAGCUUUGUGCACUUGACUAGCUAUGUGAUUAUUUCUUAUAAAAAAAAUCCGAAGAAUCCUACUUUAGCUAAA